rnacentral:rRNA from 1 species
AGCGAACGCUGGCGACAGGCCUAACACAUGCAAGUCGAACGAACUCUUCGGAGUUAGUGGCGGACGGGUGAGUAACACGUGGGAACGUGCCUUUUGGUUCGGAAUAACUCAGGGAAACUUGUGCUAAUACCGAAUGUGCCCUUCGGGGGAAAGAUUUAUCGCCAUUAGAGCGGCCCGCGUCUGAUUAGCUAGUUGGUGAGGUAACGGCUCACCAAGGCGACGAUCAGUAGCUGGUCUGAGAGGAUGACCAGCCACACUGGGACUGAGACACGGCCCAGACUCCUACGGGAGGCAGCAGUGGGGAAUCUUGCGCAAUGGGCGAAAGCCUGACGCAGCCAUGCCGCGUGAAUGAUGAAGGUCUUAGGAUUGUAAAAUUCUUUCACCGGGGACGAUAAUGACGGUACCCGGAGAAGAAGCCCCGGCUAACUUCGUG